UAACGACUCUCGGCAACGGAUAUCUCGGCUCUCGCAUCGAUGAAGAACGUNNCGAAAUGCGAUACUUGGUGUGAAUUGCAGAAUCCCGUGAACCAUCGAGUCUUUGAACGCAAGUUGCGCCCGAAGCCAUUAGGCCGAGGGCACAUCUGCC
rnacentral:rRNA from 1 species